rnacentral:rRNA from 1 species
CGCGCAGGCGGUCGUUCAAGUCGCGUGUGAAAGCCCCCGGCUCAACUGGGGAGGGUCACGCGAUACUGAUCGACUCGAAGGCAGGAGAGGGUAGUGGAAUUCCCGGUGUAGUGGUGAAAUGCGUAGAUAUCGGGAGGAACACCAGUGGCGAAGGCGACUACCUGGCCUGUUUCUUGACGCUGAGGCGCGAAAGCUAGGAGAGCAAACG